CCUUUUGGAGAAGACUCUUUCCCUCCCCAGGACAGCAGCAGUUGCCCUACUGAGUUAAUGUGAUAAGGAGAAAAAAAAAAGGGAUUGAUGGUUAAGAGAAUGGUUGAACACAGGUAAGGGGGUGGGGCUGAAAGAGAGGUUGCUUAGUCUUUUGUGUACCUUCGACCAAUUCUACCCAGACCAUGAAGAAAAAAGUAAGGCCAUUUUCAGAGAGAUGGGGUGGAGGGUUCACGCUGAGAGGUAGUGAGAGCAGAUCUUCCUCACCGCUACCACCAAUCAUCCUCCUCAAUUACAAAUAAGCCCUUUGGCCCUAAGAUUUUUCUUUGUUCUUUUUCUUUCUUUUUUUUUUU
rnacentral:lncRNA from 1 species